rnacentral:rRNA from 1 species
UACGGAGGGUGCGAGCGUUGUCCGGAAUCACUGGGCGUAAAGGGCGCGUAGGCGGCCUGAUAAGUAGGGGGUGAAAUCCUGCGGCUUAACCGCAGGGCUGCCUUCUAAACUGUCAGGCUAGAGCACAGUAGAGGCAGGUGGAAUUCCCGGUGUAGCGGUGGAAUGCGUAGAGAUCGGGAAGAACAUCAGUGGCGAAGGCGGCCUGCUGGGCUGUUGCUGACGCUGAGGCGCGAUAGCGUGGGGAGCAAACAGG